GGAAAACUCACCCGGUCCGGACACCGCGAGGAUUGACAGAUUGAUAGCUCUUUCUUGAUUCGGUGGGUGGUGGUGCAUGGCCGUUCUUAGUUGGUGGAGCGAUUUGUCUGGUUGAUUCCGAUAACGAACGAGACUCUGGCCUGCUAAAUAGGCCGUCGGUUUCCUCCCCCCCUCGGGCGCGCGCCGGCGGGACUUCUUAGAGGGACAAGCGGCGUUUAGCCGCGCGAGAUUGAGCAAUAACAGGUCUGUGAUGCCCUUAGAUGUCCGGGGCCGCACGCGCGCUACACUGAAGGGACCAGCGUGGUCGCCCCCCUUGCCCGAGAGGGCUGGGAAACCCGUUGAAUCCCCUUCGUGCUAGGGAUCGGGGCUUGUAAUUGUUCCCCGUGAACGAGGAAUUCCCAGUAAGCGCGGGUCAUAAGCCCGCGUUGAUUACGUCCCUGCCCUUUGUACACACCGCCCGUCGCUACUAUCGAUUGAGCGGUUCAGUGAGGGCAUCGGAUCGGUCGCGGCCUGGGGUUCGCGCCCCGGCGCCCGCGCGCCGAGAA
rnacentral:rRNA from 1 species